GGAGGGUCUGUGUCUCAGAGGGAGAUCAUCUGUUUGGCAUUCCAAAGGUCCCAGGUUCAAUCCCUGGCGUCUCCA
rnacentral:tRNA from 1 species